rnacentral:rRNA from 1 species
AGGAAAGCAGGGGAUCGCAANACCUUGNCGCUUUUGGAGCGGCCGAUGUCUGAUUAGCUAGUUGGUGAGGUAAAGGCUUACCAAGGCGUCGAUCAGUAGCUGGUCUGAGAGGACGACCAGCCACACUGGGACUGAGACACGGCCCAGACUCCUACGGGAGGCAGCAGUGGGGAAUUUUGGACAAUGGGGGAAACCCUGAUCCAGCCAUGCCGCGUGAGUGAAGAAGGCCUUCGGGUUGUAAAGCUCUUUCAGCCGGAACGAAACGGUCACAGCUAAUACCUGUGACUACUGACGGUACCGGAAGAAGAAGCACCGGCUAACUACGUGCCAGCAGCCGCGGUAAUACGUAGGGUGCGAGCGUUAAUCGGAAUUACUGGGCGUAAAGCGUGCGCAGGCGGUUUUGUAAGUCAGAUGUGAAAUCCCCGGGCUUAACCUGGGAACUGCGUUUGAAACUACAAGGCU